UGGGGAAUAUUGGACAAUGGGGGCAACCCUGAUCCAGCCAUGCCGCGUGAGUGAUGAAGGCCUUAGGGUUGUAAAGCUCUUUCGCUAGGGAAGAUAAUGACGGUACCUAGAGAAGAAGCCCCGGCUAACUUCGUGCCAGCAGCCGCGGUAAUACGAAGGGGGCUAGCGUUGUUCGGAAUUACUGGGCGUAAAGCGCACGUAGGCGGACAUUUAAGUCAGGGGUGAAAUCCCAGGGCUCAACCCUGGAACUGCCUUUGAUACUGGGUGUCUUGAGUACGAGAGAGGUGAGUGGAAUUCCGAGUGUAGAGGUGAAAUUCGUAGAUAUUCGGAAGAACACCAGUGGCGAAGGCGGCUCACCGGCUCGUAACUGACGCUGAGGUGCGAAAGCGUGGGGAGCAAACAG
rnacentral:rRNA from 1 species